ACCAAUUCUGAAAGAUCAAUUGUUCCUUUUAUUGUAAUGGCUUGGACGCGCUAAAUCAUUUAUGUGGUGAUCCAGAUUUAAGGGUUUUCUUCAAUACCAUUUGGUCUUGGAAACGUCUCUUAUAUUA